AUUAUUUUAUAUAUGGCAAAAAAAUGCAUUAGAAUUAGAAUCUAAUUAUGUGAAAAUUACACUCAUUUUAUUACUAUAAAUUAGUACACUAAGA
rnacentral:tRNA from 1 species